rnacentral:tRNA from 1 species
GGAUCCGUCGUUCAAUGGUAGGACAUCUGACUGUCGAUCAGAAAACAGGGGUUCAAUUCCCCUCGGAUCCGCCA